rnacentral:rRNA from 1 species
AGUGAACGCUGGCGGUAGGCCUAACACAUGCAAGUCGAACGGCAGCACAGUAAGAGCUUGCUCUUACGGGUGGCGAGUGGCGGAUGGGUGAGGAAUACAUCGGAAUCUACUUUUUCGUGGGGGAUAACGUAGGGAAACUUACGCUAAUACCGCAUACGACCUACGGGUGAAAGCAGGAGAUCUUCGGACCUUGCGCGAUUGAAUGAGCCGAUGUCGGAUUAGCUAGUUGGCGGGGUAAAGGCCCACCAAGGCGACGAUCCGUAGCUGGUCUGAGAGGAUGAUCAGCCACACUGGAACGGAGACACGGUCCAGACUCCUACGGGAGGCAGCAGUGGGGAAUAUUGGACAAUGGGCGCAAGCCUGAUCCAGCCAUACCGCGUGGGUGAAGAAGGCCUUCUGGUUGUAAAGCCCUUUUGUUGGGAAAGAAAAGCAGCAGGUUAAUACCCCGCUGUUCUGACGGUACCCAAAGAAUAAGCACCGGCUAACUUCGUG